CACGUAGGGGGCAAGCGUUGUCCGGAAUUACUGGGCGUAAAGGGCGUGUAGGCGGCCAUGUAUGUCAGGUGUGAAAGGCCUCGGCUUAACCGAGGCAUUGCACAUGAAACUGUAUGGCUUGAGUGCAGGAGAGGGGAGUGUAAUUCCUAGUGUAGCGGUGAAAUGCGUAGAUAUUAGGAGGAACACCAGUGGCGAAGGCGGCUAUCUGGACAGUAACUGACGCUGAGGCGCGAAAGCGUGGGGAGCAAACAGGAUUAGA
rnacentral:rRNA from 1 species